rnacentral:rRNA from 1 species
UACAGAGGUCCCAAGCGUUGUUCGGAUUCACUGGGCGUAAAGGGUGCGUAGGUGGUGAGGUAAGUCGGAUGUGAAAUCUCCGAGCUCAACUCGGAAAUGGCAUUGGAAACUACCUUGCUAGAGGGUUGGAGGGGGGACUGGAAUACUUGGUGGUAGCAGUGAAAUGCGUAGAUAUCAAGUGGAACACCAGUGGCGAAGGCGAGUCCCUGGACAACUCCUGACACUGAGGCACGAAAGCUAGGGGAGCAAACAGG